CUUUAUUACAAAGUUCGAAACUAUAUUCAGAAAAGAAUAUUUAUAUAUUCUUCUUCCUGCGUUUAUGAAUUGCUACUAUUGUUGUUCAGAAAUAGACAACAUAACAACUGGGAUUAUUUAUUUCAUCAAUGAUGGUCUUGAUCAUUUAGAAAGCUUCAAAUGGGUUUCUUUCCACAUGAGAAAACAUCAAAUUCAAGAAGAGUCUAGCUUAACUUUCACAUUUUCACCUAAGAAUAAGCUUGGAUAAGGUGGUUUUGGUCCUGUUUAUAAGGGUAACCUUCUUGGAGGACAAGAAACUGCCAUGAAGAGGUUGCAAGAGUUCAGAAACGAGGUUAUGGUGAUUGCUAAACUGCAACAUCGGAAUCUUGUUAGACUUUUGGGGUAUUGUGUCAGAGGAGAUGAAAAGAUUCUACUCUACGAAUACAUGCCAAAUAGAAGCCUGGAUUCAAUUCUAUUUGGCAUGGGGUUUAUGGAUGGAAGAUAAGCCACAUGAGUUGAUGGAUCCAACACUGAUGGACUCAUGCACUCCAAGUGAUAUGUUGAAGUGUAUAAAUGUGGGACCCAUAUGUGUACAAGGACAACCUUAUUAACAUCCUACAUGGAAAACAUGUUUUUAACACUACUACACAAGUGAUUUAAUAAUGCGACCCAUUUUUUAUUUUUGAGGCGGUUGAUAGUAAAAACCGCCUCAUCAAAUGUAUAAAGCAUUAAAUAAUCCAAUAACCGCUUUAAAAAAAAGCACCGGAUAAAUUCUGAAAAGUUUUUGUUAAGGCGGUUAAAAAUAAAUAGCAUCAAAAAAAGAUUUUUUAGUGCUGCUUCAUGUAACAACAUCAUUAAAUAAGGAUUUUUUGAUGCUCUUUUUAUAAAAGAGCAUCAUUAAAUCUUUAUCUUUUAAUGCUAUAUUUUAAAAAACGCAUCAAAUGAAAACACUUUGAUUUUUUAGUGCUACUUCAUUGUAAAAGCAUUAUUAAAUCUUUAUCUUUUGAUGCUAUAUUUUGAAAAAAAAAACAUCAAAUGAAAACCAGCUAUAUCUGUCUUUUAGGGUUUCUGUAAACUCUAACAUACUUCGAACUUUUAGAACAUGAAGAUUCUCUGCAUUUAUGAAACAUAAACAUAAAUGCGUAAUAACUCAAAAUACCCUUAUUAAUUGUUUUGCUAUCUUCACUAAAGGUAAUUUUAAUUUUAUUGUACUUUUGCUUUUAUUCUAAGUAUUUAUUUAUUAAAUGAUUGUUUAUUGAUAUUUUUUAAAUUGAUUAGUGUAGACUGUGAACAUGUGAAAAUUUUCAUAACUUGUUUGUUUAGAAUCAAUAUAUUUACCUUCUUUGAAUGUUUAUUUUAAUUUUCAGAUGAAUCGUGAUUAUUGGAUGUACAACACUUCAUGUUUUUCUCAAUUUUAUAUAGAGGGUGUUCAAACUUUUAUUAGGGUUGCCGAAGAAAAUCGCUUAGAAAAAGGAAGUGGAUCGAUUUGUUGUCCUUGUAACGUUUGUAAAAACUUUAAAACGUUUAAUUGUACCGAAGAAAUAGAGUAUCAUUUGUUGCAAAAUGGUUUUGUGCGUAAUUACACUUGUUGGUCAAGACAUGGAGAAACACUACUUGAUUGUAGUACAUCCUCGACCAAUUUACAUAUUAAUAAUAGUACAUGCAACAAAGAUUCAUAUGUUGUUGAUGAUGAUCACCAGUCAAAUGAUCCCAAUGACAACUUCAAUGAAAUGUUCGAUGACAUGGAGGCUAAUAUAGGUGAUGUUGAACAAGAAAAAUUACAUGGCCUAUUUGAAGAAGCAGAAACACCGUUAUAUAGCGGUUGCAAAUUUAUGAAACUUGAUGUUGUAUUGAGGUUGAUGAACUUAAAGUCGAAAAACGGAUGGAGUGAUAAAAGUUUCACAAGUCUAUUAGUGUGUUUGCAUGACAUUCUUCCGGAAGACAAUGCAUUACCCAUUUCUACAUA